CCUCAAGUGGUCAGGAUGAUUAUUGGGCCUAAAGCAUCCGUAGCCGGCUCUGUAAGUUUUCGGUUAAAUCUGUACGCUCAACGUACAGGCUGCCGGGAAUACUGCAAAGCUAGGGAGUGGGAGAGGUAGACGGUACUCGGUAGGAAGGGGUAAAAUCCUUUGAUCUAUUGAUGACCACCUGUGGCGAAGGCGGUCUACCAGAACACGUCCGACGGUGAGGGAUGAAAGCUGGGGGAGCAAACCGGAUUAGAUACCCGGGUAGUCCCAGCUGUAAACCAUGCAAACUCAGUGAUGCAUUGGCUUGUGGCCAAUGCAGUGCUGCAGGGAAGCCGUUAAGUUUGCCGCCUGGGAAGUACGUACGCAAGUAUGAAACUUAAAGGAAUUGGCGGGGGAGCACCACAAGGGGUGAAGC
rnacentral:rRNA from 1 species